AGCUAGUUAGUUACCCAGUAAAACAAUACGCAGUGAUUAAAUUCACAACUAAU
rnacentral:scRNA from 1 species